rnacentral:lncRNA from 12 species
AGGGCUGUUCCCAGGCCCAGGGAAACCUGAAACCUUGUGUCCAAGUUCUUCCUUGAAACCUUAACUCCCACGGAGGCGCCGGUGUCAGCGGGGGUCCUUUGGGAGGAGAAGAGGUCCUGAGGUCAGCCCGGCAUGAAGCCAGUGUCCUUGCACACAGGCUGGAGAGCUGGCUAGAAGGUGGCCUCGCUCUGUGAACGCGGGUGCGCCAACUACGGCUCCGUCUUCUGCACGUUGUCUGAGCACAUCCUGGCUCCGACCUGCUGUGGGGCCCCCUGUCCUCUGUGGACGUGCCUGUGAGGCCCACGGCCCCAGCCGGAAGUGUGGGUGAUGGUGUAUUGGUGGGCACCGAAGAUCAUCUUGUUAUGUCAGCACGUGCUGAUGGACGUCCACACUCAUCUUUGAGAGGCUGAGACUUUUGGACACAGUUGUGGACUGAGUUCAUAGGCUGAGACCUAACCCGCCAACAGAAGGCAACUACGUUUGGAAGGAGGACCGUGACAGGGGUGCUCAGGGGUUGGGCUUUCUGGUAAGAAGAGGAGGUGCUUCCUCCGCCACCCUGGACUCCUCUCCACCCUCAGAGAAGACCUGCAGCAAGGCAGGGCCAAGUCCUCUUGUCGAAGGUGGAAAGGCAGCGUGCGUGCUCCGUUGGAAGGCCCUGCACCCAGUGCACUGUGCCCUGUGACCCGUGGGGGCUUGCAGAGCUUUGCUUCCUUUGGAGGUUCAACGUGGAGUUCUUGGAGCCUAAAGA